UAAGGCCCGAUUGUACAUUGGCGGCUUAAGCUAUGGCUUAGUUGAACCGGGUUCAAUUUUGAGCGUCGGUUUAACUUCAUUCGGGUUGUUCAAUGCCGAGUUCAGUUAAGCCGAGGUUCAUACAAAUUUUGGUAAGGUUGGCAACGUAAGGCAUGCGUAUUCAAAGCAAUUCCCGUCAAUUCUCGACAUAAAUUUUCCCGCCAUUUAUGUAUUAUUAUUUGGUUUUUGUCAAUAUAAUUCUUUUAUUACUGUUAUUAGUUUAAUCGGUAUUUUCUAUCGUUUAGUUUAUCAGUUUAAUCAAUUUCCUACGUUAAAUUUGUGAACAGACCAUUUGAAUAGGUAUUAUAAGUAUUAGGAUAUUGCAAUGUGUUUAUUUUCUUUUUGUAAAAAACUGUUUUUAUAUAAGUGUUUUUUUCUACACUGGACGCAAAAAAGCCUUCCAAUUUCACCUCUCAAAAAGAAAUAUUGGUAUCUUUGGCCAAAUAAUAAAGCAGAAUUGUACAAAAUAGAAUGAAACAAAUAACCCCCAAAAUUUUAAAGAAGUUUAUCAAAGCCAUUGAUUGUAGCAGAUAGUAAGAAAUUUUUAUAAAUAUCUAAUAGUUGUUGUAUGUAUUAGUUUAAAUUUCUAAAUUAACAAAGUAUUCAUGCAUAAGAUUUUCAACCUCCUCCUACGUUUGACAAAUUGUACUUCUCAUGAUUCUCUAGACUAUAGACAGUUAGAUUUACUACAUUUUGGCUAAUGUUAUUGCUACUUCUUCUUCUUUAUGUAGUAUGGGCAAAGGGUUAUUAAAAAGCAUUGCAAUAUUGUGUAUCAUUGAUGUUCCAAUUACAAUUGAAUGGGCCUUCCGAAUAAAAGUGCCAUGUGAUUCGUUUUUAAGAAAUCGAACAAAAACUGUUAAAAUUAUAAUAAUGGUAAAUUUAUACAUUUUAAGGAUUAGUAAUUAAUUACUUCAGCUUAGUACCAUCUGUUUAAUUUCAGUACUUAAAUUACAUCUCAACUGAACUAACUUUUCUUCGUCAUUGAUAUUUUAUGGACUUUACGGUCUUUAAAUGUACCUAUAUUCUUCUUAAUAUAUUCGUCAUGCUUUGACUGGCUGAUUGACAUAUAGUCCAUGCCAUUAAAAAGGAUUAGUAAUACAGUACAGUUAUUUACAAACUGUAUUAAUAACUAACCCUUAAAUGUGUAAAUUUACCAAUAUUCCAAUUUUAACAGUUUUUGUUCGAUUUCUUAAAAACGAAUCACAUGGCACUUAACAAUUGUUAUUCGGUAGACCCAUUCAACUGUGUCUAUGCAUUCUGCAUUCUCAUUGUGCCUCAUUAAAUAAAAUUUCAGCUUGUGAUGAAGGAUUGCGUAAGGGUGUUAUCAGGUUUUCUUGACUCCGUAACCACUAUCACCAAAGAAGAUACUAAUUCAAUCUUCACAUUCUCUUCUCAUAAAUAUUUAACUGUUUACAGCUAUGAUUUCAAAUUCACUCAAAAAUGUUAAUAUUUGCCUUAUUCUAGGGAAGUAGUUAGGUAAUUUAAAUAAUUUUAGAAGGUAAAUUAGUUUGUAAUUAUUAUUAAAUAAAGUGAUAAUAUGUACCUACAUAAGCAUGGUACAAAUAUAAUUAAUUUAAGAUUUAUUAAUAAAUUAUGUACAUCUAAUUUAAUAAAUUAACAAAAUCGUUUUCUACAUUUGCUUCAAAAUCAUUCACAAGUUGCAAAAAGGAGCCUGUUGCUUAAAACCAGUGAUAUGGGCCCACUUCACUGCACAAAACCUUAAUUUAAGGCAAUAAAAACAAUGUUCUUAGAAGAUACAGCUUGGUUCUUGAAAUGUCAAUAACAAAUUUGCCACUUGUUUUCGUUCUCGUUCUUACCUAUCUGUUCGAUUUUUUAUUCUAUGAGCAAUACUAGUUUCAUACAAAUAGUGAACAGUGAACAGAUAUCCAAAAUCUUUGCAACAAUGCAUAAUGCAUUAUCCUUCCAUUUUCAAAAUGAUUUUCUCUAGACCUACACUGUUUCUGUGUUCUCCUUCCUUCUAGAAUAUUUACCAUUUCCAGAAAAUCUUCAUUAUUAGUUAAAUUUUCAAUGAGGUUCAUUUUUAAGGUGUAAAUAUUAUGAUUUCCGUUGACAAAUGACAAAAAUGUGAGGUUAAAAAUGCUUGAACCAGCGUUAAACCGCCGAACAUCGACCGCUCAGCUGAACCCGGGCUUAAACCGAGCUCAAGCUUAAACUUUGUAUGUACAACGCACUUCUUGCCCUGAACUCGGUAAUGGCGCUGAGCCGGAGUUGAACCUCGAUUGUACAACCGGGCCUUAAUAUCCAGCACGCAACCGCGCUGUUGCCAGAUUUACAUAUUUUCUAUUAGCGGGAAUUUUAAAAUCUCGAAUGCGAGUUGGUUUAAAAUUUGACAGUUGUGUUUUCUCGAAUCGGAAUCUUAACCUUACUUUUGUGAUUAUUUAUUUACAAAUAUGUAAAUAAAUUCAAACAAGUAUUGUAUGUACGGUAUGUACCUACUGUGUUAUAAUUUAAAACUCUUAAUUAUGUUAGUCUUUAAAAAAAAUGAAGCCCACAAAAAUACACUUGUUUACAGUGCAAAUGAUUUUUUAAUGGAAAUAGGGAUUUAGGAUUUCAUUUGCAGGAAAAACAUGGGCAACCUACCCAGUUCGUAAAAUUGCAAUUCAAAAACUCUUUAGAUUUUACUGUCUGGAUGGCACAGGAAGAGACACAAAAUAAUAUUCAGUACUGCAGUCACAGGAGUACAUAGAGUACGUAGAGAUAUAAGAAAACAGCUGUUCAACAUCACCUGACACCGUUUAGUUUUUAGAAAAUGAAAAGUCUUUAGGUUGAAUGCGAUCUGCAGUAUCUUGCAUUGCUACAUAAUGAAUGUGUUUAUAUAUGGUAUUUUUUAUUGAAUAAUCUAUACAGGAACAACUAAAUGAAUGUAUACAUAUAUUGCAGACAUUGCAUUUAGUUUUUUAGAGCAGCAAGUUUUUUUGUGUUUCAACAAGGUAUUCAGUUUUUUUUUUCUUUUAGUAUAUACACAUUAUUAUCUUGUAAAAUAGCAAGCUAAUACAGUUCGGUAUCUAGACGUUAUGGAGCAUUCAACAGGUUUACCUUUUUUAAGCUUUAUAACCCUUUCAACAGUUUUAUUCCUUAAAAACAAUAACAACUGAUUUUCAAUGGUCAUAUUAUUGGUAUUUUAAUUCCAUAAUCCUUCCUAUAACAAUAGGUGCAUUGUUGGAAGUUAUUACAGUAGUUCUGCUGGAAAUACUUACCAAAAUUGUAUGUAUCUGCAUCAUUUAGAAUUUUACCCAAACACCUAUUAAUACUCUAUCUGAAUCUAACAUGUAUUGCAGCUCUUUCAAUGUCUUGUAUACAUAGGAUUUUUUCAGAAUCAGAUAUUUCAUUAAGAUUUACUUGCCAUGCCUUGUCUAUGUACCAGGGACAUAACAGACAGUCUAUUAGGAACAGAACCCAUUACAUUCAGGCAUUGUAAAAAGUGUUAGUUAUGUCUGAUAUGAAAACAUUUGACUAUAUAAUACCAGCACACUCAUGUAUUUUUUCAAAAAAAGUUGGUAAAUAAAAGUAUUUUUUAUGAGCCCAUGAGUUCCAUUAGUUGCGAUAAGCGAUUUACCAAACUUAAUUAAUAUUUCCUUUUGCACAGUAUUCAUGGAAACACAUAAGACAAAAAUCAUUAUUGUUUAAUUCGGGAGGAUUAUCAAUAAUUGAAUCGUUUAUUUCAGAAAGGGGUCAAGUCACAAGUAUCCACUUUUGAGAAAAUAAAGUUUACACACUGUUUACAUUCAACAAACAAUCACAUUAUAUAAAAUAAAAAUUCUACCUAGCAACCUGGAGUAUUUGUUAAAAAAUGUUGUAUUUUUUAAAAAUGUAUCUUGUUAAAUUGUU